rnacentral:rRNA from 1 species
UACGUAGGUGGCAAGCGUUGUCCGGAAUUAUUGGGCGUAAAGGGCUCGUAGGCGGUCUGUCGCGUCGGGCGUGAAAACUCAGGGCUUAACCCUGAGCCUGCUUCCGAUACGGGCAGACUAGAGGUAUGCAGGGGAGAACGGAAUUCCUGGUGUAGCGGUGAAAUGCGCAGAUAUCAGGAGGAACACCGGUGGCGAAGGCGGUUCUCUGGGCAUCACCUGACGCUGAGGAGCGAAAGCGUGGGGAGCAAACAGG